GGAGCAAUGAUAUAACAAAAAACAAUGGAAGAAAAGGGCUUGAGGCUAUCUUUAACAUAAAUAUUAUGUUUCAGCUCCAACAUUAUGGUUGCUCAGUUUCUUCAGAAAGCAACUCAUGGAGAAGUACAAACCACAGUUAGAAAGUUGAGAGAUUUCAAUGAGAAGCACAGGACCUUUAAGUCACAUGGUUACCUUCAGAAUGCACUCACCAAUUGGUACAGUUAUGAAACCUCUAGAAGUCAUCCAUUCUUGUAUAGACUUACUCUCCUGGCAUGUCUACUUGCUAUGAAACAGCUGUUUAGUCAUGUUGCCAAGAAGAAAAGAAGACAGAAUGCCUCUAGAUAAAGAAAUGCUAUUCCUAUGUCAACUUGCUAUGCAAAGUGUGGACUGUGGACCAGCAGCAUGUGUGUCGCCUGGCAGCUUGUUGCAAAUGCAGAAUCUGAAGCUCUCAUCUAGACCUACUAAACAGACUUCACUUUAACAAUAUAACCGGGCAAGUCAUAUAGUCAUUAAAAUUUGAGAAGUAUGAUCUAGCAUAGAUAUUACUUCAUAAUAAAUGUUUAAUGUUUCAGUUACUAUUGCUGCAUAGCAAAACACCCCAAAAUUAAUGACUUAAAAUGACAACUACCACUUUAUUGUGAGGAAUUCAGGAAAGGCUCAUUUGGGUGUUUGGCUUAUGAUCUUUCAUAUGGGUGCAGUCAGACAAUGUCUGGAUCUGGGACUCUGGUGGACUGAAGCACCUGGUCACUGGUCUGACAUCUUUUUUUCUUCUUAUACAAUCUCAGGGCCUCUCUAUGUAAUCUUGCUGCUAGGCUAGUUUGGGCUUCCCAAAGCCUGGUAGCCUGAGGUCAGUUGGACUGCUUACACAUGGCCGAUGGCUUCAAAAAGGAGUACUCUAGUGGAGAGAGCACAAGUUGCUUGGCUUUUCUGAUCUAGCCUUAGAAGUCACUUCUGCCAUGCUCUAUUUGUUGAAACACUGUAAAACAUCAUCAGUUUGAAGGAGACAGUAUAUACACCUUACCUCUUCAUGGGAGGAUUGUCAAAGUCUCUCUGUAAGAAGAGCAUAGUAUAGGAGAUAUUGUUGUAGCCACCUUUGCAAAAUACAAUUGACACACUUAAUAUUUAUAACUAUUGCCUUUACUCCUUUAUUGUGUAGAUGUAAAUCAGUGAUUAAUUCCAGGUUAAAGGUACUUUUUGGCAUGCUCAAUAGCCGUCUUUACUUUACAGGAGGAGGUAGAGUACCAGAUGGCUUUUCCAAAAGGCAUGCUGAAAAUUAUUAGUAGUUUGAUAAAGAUUCUGAUGAAUUCCUCAAGGCUAAAUGCAGUGCUGAAUUUUCCUUUGUCAUCUUCUUUGAUCUUCUCAGUGAGAAAUUAUCUCAUCUUCUUCCAAAGCCCAUUAGAAUGUUGCCUAUUUUAAAAGUUGAGUUCUUCAUAUCAUAAAUUAAAUAUUAUGUCUAAAGAGUUUCUGGCAUAUGCUACAUACUCAAUGAUUGCAGGUAUUUUCAUUAAACCUAUUUAUAUAUAUUUCUUACCUCCUUCUCCUUUCUUUUCCUGGUGAACUGCAAUUCCUUUAGAAGCCAAUUCUGAAUUUCUAGGCAGAACAGUCAUAGUUUUCUUUCGGUUUCAAACUAAUUUAAACCCCAAAAACCAGUAUUCAUG
rnacentral:lncRNA from 1 species